UACGGAGGGUGCAAGCGUUAUUCGGAUUCACUGGGCGUAAAGGGCUCGUAGGCGGCCAACUAAGUCAUACGUGAAAUCCCUCGGCUUAACCGGGGAACUGCGCUUGAUACGGCAGAGCUAGAGGAUGGAAGAGGGUCGCGGAAUUCCCAGUGUAGAGGUGAAAUUCGUAGAUAUUGGGAAGAACACCGGUGGCGAAGGCGGCGACCUGGUCCAUUACUGACGCUGAGGCGCGACAGCGUGGGGAGCAAACAGG
rnacentral:rRNA from 1 species